AUUGAACGCUGGCGGCAGGCCUAACACAUGCAAGUCGAACGAGUGGCGGACGGGUGAGUAAUGUCUGGGAACCUGCCCGAUGGAGGAGGAUAACUACUGGAAACGGUAGCUAAUACCGCAUACCAUCGGAUGUGCCCAGAUGGGAGAAGCUCGUAGGUGGGGUAACGGCUCACCUAGGCGACGAUCCCUAGCUGGUCUGAGAGGAUGACCAGCCACACUGGAACUGAGACACGGUCCAGACUCCUACGGGAGGCAGCAGUGGGGAAUAUUGCAAAAUGGGCGCAAGCCUGAUGCAGCCAUGCCGCGGGUAGGAAGAAGGCCUUCGGGUUGUAAAGUACUUGCAGCGAGGAGGCGUUACUCGCAGAAGAAGCACCGGCUAACUCCGUGCCAGCAGCCGCGGUAAUUC
rnacentral:rRNA from 1 species